GUUGAACGCUGGCGGCGUGCCUAACACAUGCAAGUCGAACGGAAAAACGCUGCUUGCUCCGUGAUCCAGCGGCGGACGGGUGAGUAAUGCGUAGGAAUCUGCCUGGUAGUGUGGGAUAACGUCUGGAAACGGGCGCUAAUACCGCAUACGUCCUGAGCGGGAAAGGGGGGGGUCGUCGGAUCACACGCGAUCAGAUGAGCCUAGGUCGGCUUAGCUCGUUGGUGGGGUAAAGUGCUACCACGGCGACGAUCCGUAACUGGUCUGCGAGGAUGAGCAGUCACACUGGAACUGAGACACGGUCCAGACUCCUACGGGAGGCAGCAGUGGGGAAUAUUGGACAAUGGGCGAAAGCCUGAUCCAGCCAUGCCGCGUGUGUGAAGAAGGUCUUCGGAUUGUAAAGCACUUUAAGUUGGGAGGAAGGGCAGUAAGUUAAUACCUUGCUGUUUUGACGUUACCAACAGAAUAAGCACCGGCUAACUUCGUG
rnacentral:rRNA from 1 species